CUGUGACGUAUUUCCUAACGUUCCUAGCAUCUCUGCAAAUAAAGGAUGAUUAUUACAAGUUAGCUGCUAAUUGAGACGAAUUCUGAAUGUGCUGAACCCAAAAGCUGUUCAACAUCCACUCCCUUGAUGGAGCACGGACUCAAAAGUGGGAUCCUGAGGUAUGGUGAAGCUGCUCUCAUCAUCUGUUGCCAUGGCAUGCUACACUCCUGGGAAGCUGCGGCCUUCACUAAAAGCCAAUGUCAAGAUGUUAAGCUUUUUACAGACUGACGCAAGAUCCCUCUCUCUGUCUGCUUUGCAGGGUUGCUCCCCUCUUCAGAUGGCUGUGGACGCAAUAAUGACCCAACAGAUGGGUUUAUUAGAGAGCGGUUAAGGCAGCCAGCGGGUGGUUCGUUCAGGGGGGAACCAGGAGCUGAAGCGCCAGGAGCUCUGGGUGAAAAGGAGACUGACAGGAAGCAAGUGACUCAGCCUCUCUCUUCAGUUGUUGAUCCAAUAGGCAGAGUCUCUUCCUCAUAAUGAUCUCAGUCGCCAGGACUGGUGUGUAGUUGCCUGCCUGCGUGCCUGUGCUUUUGUGUCCCAUCCACAUAUGUGCAGUCUUGCUUAUGUAAUUCAUCCACGCUUUGCAUUUGUACAUUUCAGUACAUAUGCCUCCCCCCUGAAGCAUGUGAAUGCCUUUUGACAUGUAAAUGAGAUCGAGCUGGCUUUGUUAGCUACCUGCGUGUUAAUGCUUGUUUAAGAUGUCAUCUGUCUCUUUUUGCCUCUCCAUUCAGCGGGGCGGGUGGCAUGCUUUGUGUCUCCAGCCCCAGGUGUCGAAGGAGGUUCUUCAAACCCUCGUUAGUGUCCUAGAGUGUGUGUGUGUGUGUGUGUGUGUGUGUGUGUCUGUGUGUGUGUGCAUUUGUGUGUGCUCUGCUGGAGCACGCCACUCUAGAUCACAAGACAAUAUGGGCCAAAUCAGAUCAUACAGAGACCUCAUUAUUCUCUUUGCACUUCUAGGUCUCUCCAACACUUGUUAGCUUUCACUGGUCAAUAGGGCUCAAUAGAGUUGAUUUAACAAAUAAAGGAAAAAAGUGGGACAUUAACUCAGGCAUAUGGAUGGGAUUCAGGCAUCAAUGGGAAGGAAAUUAGUAAAUUAGCCUCUAAUUACCAAAUUAUAAGAAGAUCAGACAUUUUCUGUCCAUGAGAUUGUAGCUAAUUAUUAGUGGUAGAAUGUCAAAAGUUAUAUUUUUUAAAUUCAAGAUUCAAAGACUGUCAACAAAAUGAUUUGCUGUUCUUCUGUGCUGUCCAUUCUUAAAAACAUAUUUUUAAGUUAGAAAAGGAGAAUACAAACAGAAAUAAGAGGAGGAAUUAGAAAGAAUAAGGAAGUAAUUAGUAAAAAAAAGUAUAAUAUUAAAUAAGUAUUAAGAAGUGUUACAAUAUACCACAAGAGUCAGAUGAGCACCAGUAAUGCGAAUUCAAAUUAAAGUGUGACAGUGGUGCAAAUCUCUGCAACGUUGUGCAACAGUUGUAUGAAUUUGUGUUGUACAGCACAUUUAGAUACUUCAUUGUCAAUUUUUAACAUUUGUGGAACAUUUCACAUUAUAUAUCUGAAUUGGCCUUCCUGGAAUAUGACAACCACUUUUUUUUACAUUUAGGAGUUAUCUUUGACUUUCACCUUACUUUUGAUUAUCAUUAUUUUAAAAAAAAUGUGCAAUUCUGUUUUCAACCUCAUGUUUCACAAAUUUGAUUUUUAUUAUUUCCUGACUUCUUUCACUUUUUUUCAUAAUGGACAGUUGUAACUUUCUAUUUGACUAUUCUGAGUCUCUGUUUGACAGAAAUUGAUUCUCUGUUUGACAAAACUGGCAGUUCUGACUCUCUCUGACGUGAGUGGGCAAAGCCCACCCAUGUUUUUUUGCAACCAUAGUCUUAACAAGGACAAAUAAGAGACUCCACAUAACCCCAUUUUAGCAUAUUUGCAUUGGCUUCCAAUUGAUUUUAGAAUUGAUUUUAAGAUUUUACUCAUUAUUUUUUAAUGCAUUCUGUGGUCUGGGUCUGGCACACUGUACAUUUGUGAUGUGGUGCCCAUAUGUAUCUGCUUUCAGAACCAGCAACAAAACUCUGCUGGUAAUUCCCUUAAAGCCAAAGAAGAUUGUUCUGCUGUCUACUGUUACCCUACAUCUCUACUAAGAACUCUUUUUUUAUUAUUUAUAAAUUUGUAUUUCUACAUUAAGUGGUCUUCUCAUUCUCUGUCACUUUAACUACUAGCUAUCAACUAAUUUCUGUUAUUUUAAUAUUUUUUUUC